rnacentral:rRNA from 1 species
UAUAGUGUGUUAUAACUAAUUAUAGAAGAAAUAUGAUUUAUAUAAGUAUUAAUUUAUUUAUUUUAUUAAAAAAUAAUUUAUAAUAAGAAAAAUUUAAUUAUAAUGAUAAAAUUAGUAUAAUAUAAUGUAAGGUAUUUUUAUAUAAGUAAGGUUUUUUUAAGGAAUUCGGCAAAUAUAAUUUUCACCUGUUUAUUAAAAACAUGUCUUUUUGAUAAUAAUUUAAAGUCUAACCUGCCCAAUGAUAAAGAUUAAAUGGCCGCAGUAAUUUGACUGUGCAAAGGUAGCAUAAUCAGUAGUUUUUUAAUUGAAAGCUUGUAUGAAGGGUUGAAUGAAAAAUUAACUGUCUCAAUAAAAAUUUUAUAGAAUUUUAUUUUUAAGUAAAAAAGCUUAAAUAUGUAUAGAAGACGAGAAGACCCUAUAGAGUUUUAUACUUAUUUUUAAUAAAAUUUUUAGAAUUUUAAGAUUUUUUAAAUAUGAGUAUUUAGUUGGGGUGAUUGAAAAAUUAGAUUAACUUUUUUUUUAUUUUUACACUAAUUAGUGAAUAAAAGAUCCUUAAAUUAGGAUUUAAAGAAUAAAUUACCUUAGGGAUAACAGCGUAAUUUUUUUUUAGAGUUCUAAUCAAAAAAAAAGAUUGCGACCUCGAUGUUGGAUUAAAAUUUAUUUUUGGUGUAGUAGCUAAAAAUUUAGGUCUGUUCGACCUUUAAAAUUUUACAUGAUCUGAGUUUAAACCGGUGUGAGCCAGGUUGGUUUCUAUCUCUAUAAAUAUAAUAUAUUUUAGUACGAAAGGACCAAAUAUAUAUUUUAAAAAUUUAUGUAAGAAUAUAAUUAAUUAA